rnacentral:rRNA from 2 species
CCACGUCAACAGCAGUUGGACGUGG